rnacentral:rRNA from 1 species
GUAAACCUCUUUUUUCAGGGAGGAAUCAAUGACGUGUACCUGAAGAAUAAGCAUCGGCUAACUCCGUGCCAGCAGCCGCGGUAAGACGGAGGAUGCAAGUGUUAUCCGGAAUCACUGGGCGUAAAGCGUCUGUAGGUGGUUUAAUAAGUCAACUGUUAAAUCUUGAGGCUCAACUUCAAAAUCGCAGUCGAAACUAUUAGACUAGAGUAUAGUAGAGGUAAAGGGAAUUUCCAGUGGAGCGGUGAAAUGCGUAGAUAUUGGAAAGAACACCGAUGGCGAAAGCACUUUACUGGGCUAUUACUAACACUCAGAGACGAAAGCUAGGGUAG